UAUAUCUAAUUUCCUAAGCAGAAAUGAUAUAGGGAAUUUUUUUUUAUUAUUAAAAAAAAGUAUGAGAGCUCUUUCUGCCUAGGUGAUCACCUCCUGCUUUAAUUUUGGGAUUAGCAGCCUAAAAUUAAUACUUAAAGAUAAUAAAUAAAAACACAAAAUUUUAAAAAUAAAGAAAAAUCUAAAAAACAUUUAAAUUAAAUUAAAUUAAAUUAAAUUAAAUCAAAUUAAAUUAAAUCAAAUUAAAUUAAAUUAAUUUUAUCUUGGCACAGAGCAAGCGGGAAGUUACUUAGCAAGGUUCCGGGUUUCCCCACGCCCCGCCCGGCCUACCACAGCUAAAUGGUUUUCGUCCUUGGGGUGCUCUGUCCUGCGGAAAGCAAUCCGUGUCCAUCUGUCCCAGCUCUGCCCGCCCGCCUCGCAUCUACCCUUCUCUUCUGACUCCGCCCCACAUCUGUCCGGAACCGCCUCCCGCUGAAGCUGACCCAGUGCGCGUCCGCCAGUCAGUCCCUCCGGACCUGCCGCGAGUCUCAGACUGCCGAAAUUACCGCGCGUCACUCGCCUUUUUCAGCUUUUCAAAACAGUCACUGUACAAACUUCAAAUGUGCCCAGGAGAAGAAAAUUAAGAACAUUGCUUUGUGAUUGUAAACCAUCAUAUUAAAAGUUAUUCUGGUGAGACUAUUCUGUACAAAAAACUUCAUAUACUGUUGCCUUUCUGGUUGUAUCUAUGAUUAAGGGUACAAACAAAAUGUUACAUGUUAAGUGAUAUUUUCAGUACAGGGGAAAAUGUAAGAAUACUAUGUGUUUAAGGGAAUAUUUAGGAAUGGUGUGAAUGCCAUCCUACCUAUAAAUAAAUGGCUUUAUUUAAGGAAAUAGUUUAAAAUG
rnacentral:lncRNA from 1 species